UCUGUCUUGUCAUCCAGAGGCGUCGCCCACACCCCGGGAUCGGUGGAGGAAGAUGCUUUGCUCUGUGGACCUGUGAGCAAGCAUAAGCCGCCAAACCAAGGUUCAAUGUGGCUUAAUUGUGGUGGCCUACAAAGAUGGAUCACCUGCCCACCCACAUUUCAUGGAUGCGGAGCUCUGUUCCCAGUACUGGGCCAAGUGGCUUCUUCGACUAGAAGAAUAUACGGAAAAGAAAAAGAACCAGAAUAUUCAGAAACCAGAAUAGGGAACAGGAUGCUAUUUGGGAACAUUCAGCACCUUCUCACAGUUUGGGAACAUAUAUUGCCGUUUACUCCAGUGUAAAAAUGAGUUGCCACUGGAUCUGAGUGCUACACGAACACAAGUAGAAGUAUUAAUUUGUUGAAAUGUGUUGUUACCAAAAAGACUGAAAAGUCCCAAAGUCUAGAUAUAAAGAGCUAGACUUCGGCAUGCGAAAUGCCAGCUAUGCUACCUCUUAUUUACUUGAAAGGAGGACAUGCAGGAUGGGCAGUCAUGCUGGUGACUCUUGGACUCCCUUGAGGGACUU
rnacentral:sRNA from 1 species